GAUGUUGGCACAUCUUUUGGUCUGAUUACCAAAUCUGAGUCCAAGGCUUUGGCUCGAAGUCCCAAGUCCAAGCCAAAAACAAGAUUCCACACCCCCCCUAGAAAAAAAGGGAGAGGUAGGUAUGCUCUGGGGACAUGGUGGCACUGCGGGUUAAACUGCAGAAGCCUUUGUGCUGCAAAGUCAGAAGUCCAGCUGAUCGAAUCCAUAUGACGCAGUGAGCUCCUGUCGCUUGUCCCAGCUCCUACCAACCUAGCAGUUUGAAAGCAUGUAAAGAUGCGAGUAGAUAAAAUAGGUGCCACCAUGGUGGGAAGGUAACGGCGUUCUGUGUCUAGUUGCACUGGCCACCCAACCACGGAAACUUUCUACGGACAAACGCUGGCUCUAUGGCUUGGAAAUGGGGAUGAGCACUGCGCCCUAGAGUCAGACACGACUGGACUAAAUGUCAAGGGGAACCUUUACCUUUACCUAGGUAUGUUCUAAGUUGCAGGUCAAGUCUGAGUCAUUGAAAAAGAAAUGUGAGUCAGAUCUGAUUCAAGUCACUGGUGUGAUUUAAGUCUGACUUGAGAGUGAGUCCCACGAUUUGAGUCCCCUCCCCUGUAAAUUGGUUUCUGGAGGCAGACAGUAACGGUUUGCAAGAAUGAAGAAUGACCUGACACUUGUUAAGAGAUUAUGCUUUGAUGUUUUGUAUAUUUCUUAAAGAGAAGUUCCUUCUCUCCACUGAAGUGAUCACACCCAUCCAUCCAUCAGCCAUGAAGAUCCACCACCUUCUCUUGGGUGUCUGCUUCAUCAUCAUGAUGGCUACUCCAGGGCUAGCACCGGAUACGCCUCAUGAUACCGGCAGCUGUACGCUGAAUGGAGGUUUCUGCUAUCAUGAGGCCCGGUGUCCUUGGUGUUUCAGACAGUAUGGAACAUGUGACUCAAAUGUGCUCUGCUGUUUUAGGGAAAGCUGGCGUCCUGAAUGUGAGGAAGCAACAACACCGAGGGAUGCAAACAGUCCCAAACCAACAGAACCCAUGGGUCCACAAACUACAACUCCCCAGAAAGCACAACAAACUGGCAAAUGUGAAUGAGCAUGCAAGGGUUCAGAAUAAAAAGCUUCCUGUUCAAGUGUCUGUUAUUCCA
rnacentral:lncRNA from 1 species